rnacentral:rRNA from 1 species
CCUUACACAUGCAAGUCGAACGGUAACGCGGGGCAACCUGGCGACGAGUGGCGAACGGGUGAGUAAUACAUCGGAACGUGCCCAGUAGUGGGGGAUAGCCCGGCGAAAGCCGGAUUAAUACCGCAUACGACCUACGGGUGAAAGCGGGGGAUCGCAAGACCUCGCGCUAUUGGAGCGGCCGAUGUCAGAUUAGGUAGUUGGUGGGGUAAAGGCCCACCAAGCCGACGAUCUGUAGCUGGUCGGAGAGGACGACCAGCCACACUGGGACUGAGACACGGCCCAGACUCCUGCGGGAGGCAGCAGUGGGGAAUUUUGCACAAUGGGGGCAACCCUGAUCCAGCCAUGCCGCGUGCGGGAAGAAGGCCUUCGGGUUGUAAACCGCUUUUGUCAGGGAAGAAGCGCGCUGGGCUAAUACCCCGGCGUAAUGACGGUACCUGAAGAAUAAGCACCGGCUAACUACGUGCCAGCAGCCGCGGUAAUACGUAGGGUGCAAGCGUUAAUCGGAAUUACUGGGCGUAAAGCGUGCGCAGGCGGCUUUGCAAGACAGAUGUGAAAUCCCCGGGCUUAACCUGGGAACUGCAUUUGUGACUGCAUGGCUGGAGUGCGGCAGAGGGGGAUGGAAUUCCGCGUGUAGCAGUGAAAUGCGUAGAUAUGCGGAGGAACACCGAUGGCGAAGGCAAUCCCCUGGGCCUGCACUGACGCUCAUGCACGAAAGCGUGGGGAGCAAACAGGAUUAGAUACCCUGGUAGUCCACGCCCUAAACGAUGUCAACUGGUUGUUGGACGGCUUGCUGUUCAGUAACGAAGCUAACGCGUGAAGUUGACCGCCUGGGGAGUACG